UAGCCGCCGUCGCCCGUGGGGCAGAGCGCGGAGCGGAGCUUACGGGAGGUACGCGCGGGGAGCAGUCCACCUCCGCGGGCGCGGGGCCCGGACAGGGCCAGGCAGGUGGCGCGGGCAGCGGCGGUGUCGUAUGCCGGAAGGAGCCGGCGAAAAGUAGGUCACUGCCGCCGAUCCGCGGGUACCGGCCGCGAGGUGGGCCCGGCCGAGGAGUCCUACCGGGACCGGCCCGUCCUCCCUCCGUGCGCGGCUCUCGCCGAUGGCAGCGGAGCAAUGCCGGGCCCCGGCUGCCCCGACGGACCCCGCAGCCGUUCUACGCUUCCCGCCAGGCUCGCGGCACCGGUUCCCUCAGCAGCAUGAGCUGUGCCCUGACGGGAUUAGUCAUCCUGUACCGCACUACCAGAUGGGGACCAGCGCUGCAGUGGGAAGCCACUGGUUGACGGCACAACUGGGACGCCUCGGGAGAACAUUGCUGGGUCCCUGACUCUGGACCCAGGCUGCUCCAAGCAGCUUCCAAAACUGAGUUCACUCCCUUACAAACAAGUUAAUUUUUGGGGUGCUUUUUUCCCCUCUCCAGCUCCUCUUGGAAAGCUGCUCCUUAACCUAUGCAAUGCUGGAAGAUCUGCUCUGUCUGGGAGCACACUGCUGCCUAGUAGGUCUUUGCCACAGCUGGCAUCCUUACCACUGGCUUUCUUUGUUCAACCAAAAUUUCUGUUCCUCUCCCAGCCCUUGUUCUGCUGGAGGAAAGGGGCAAGCAUACAGGCAGCCUGCACGGCCACAUCUCCACAUAUGCCAGUGCCCCAAAGCACAGCAUGGGGGACAAAAGCAGAACCACAAAUGGGACAGUGGACAAAAGACUUUGCUAUGAGGUUUUUAAUGUGAACCUGAUGCCAGUGAAGAAAGGGAAGUGACGUUGUUACAGCAAUAAUCCUGAGGAACAUCAACUGUUAUUGAUGAGGACAAGUAAAAGGGCACAUUUGCAUGCAGUUAAUAUUUAAUAUUUACUUUCCUAUUGGAGGCAAGGAAAAUAGCUUGGUUGUGAUGCCUACCACAAGUGGCAAAUAUCUUUUUCUCCCUUAAGAAUGGGUUUUUGAGGCAUGUGGCCUCAUCUUGCAAAACACAGCAACCCUCCCCUCAUUCAUGUGGUAAAAAUCCUUCUUGCUCACUUUCAGGCGAGAUAUGAACAGAUAUCAAAUGCAGCGUUUCUCUCCACUUUUACUUGGGUUAAGGUGUGUCUCUGCAGCCUGAAGAGCAGCCCUGUCACAGCAGUGAUCAUCACCACUGGGAUGUCACUGCCUCCCUACAUUGGCAUGCAGAUACACAUUUGAGGAAGUAGAUGAGGAAUCAUGAGAACAUCGAACUGUGUGACUGAUGCACUUUAAGAUUAAGCACCCACAGAUGGAUGGGUGGAAGCACAGGGUAGGCAGGAUGUGGCCCUGAAGGUAGGUUUCUCCUCAAGGUACAAGUGCCACAGCCAUUGCCCUGAGUUGUGCUAGGAGCUGGCCAGGGGUGCUGGCAAUGCUGGGACCCUUCCAUGGCCACCACCCCUUCCCACAGCUUGACAGGCACAGGAAACAGCAUCAACACUGCCUUCUAAUAAAGCAAACUGUUCAGAAAUACCACUUUGCCUCAUUAAAAAACUAUUUGCUGACCAGAAAUCAUGUUUUAUUUGAAGUGUUCCAGUCAACAUUCCUGCAGCCCCUGGCAGGUAGAGCUAGCAGACUGGGGAAAUACAGGGGCCAAUCCUCCUACAGCAAUGGUGAAGGAGUUGAACACACUUUCUGCCAAGAUCUUUAUAAAAGUUAAGAAAGAAUAGGGGAACAGACAUUUCUGCCACUUCAGAAUUCACACAUUGUUCAGCAAGUUGUGGCAUUGGGCAGCUUUGGCUGUGCUUGUUUGGAUGUUUCGCAUAGCCUCAAAUUUGUUUAUAUUAUUAUUUUUUGACAGUGCUGCAUUGCAAAGACAUGACAGCAGCAAUAAAACCAAGAGAGAGCUGGUUUUGGCCAGAAAACAUGAACAUCAAAGAAAAAAAUUAUCUUUGUUGUUCUUAUAUAUAGUCUUGUGUAUGUUUUUAUAUAUGCUCUUGUGUGUGGAUAGAAGUGUAUAUAUAUAUAGUAUCUGUGUAUAUAUAUAUAAAUAUGUACACACGUAUAUACACAUUAGACAUACACAUUAUAGAUAUGUAUCUAAAAUCCAGCCUGCCCCUGCUGCACUCGCCCAGUGGACUGGGAGAUCCUGUAGCCUGACAGGCACCACUAAGGAGCAACAUAAUUAAAUAUAGAACUAGAAGGAUACCUUGGGCUGUAUUUUGGAAGAUCACACUCCCAUUCACCGUCUAUCAUCCUCAGCAAAGGGUUUUCAAAGCUAGCUUUUAAAUUACACACUGCAAAAAUUCCAGCACAGGAAAUGCUUGCAUUGCUUAGUGCUAAGUCACUAACCAGCCCCGGUUCAGAAUCAGGCACCUCCUGAAGCCUAGUUUCCCUUUAAAGUGUGCCCAGAAAUUCAACGUGAUGUUUUUCCCUUUUCACACAGUAGUAACCGUGAGGCUUGGGAUCAUGCAAACGAAAAGGAAAGAGAGGAACAGAGAUGACAAAGAGGAAAAAGCAUUCUUGCCUUGGUCUGAAGUGGCUGUUUCUGCGCGGGUUCUGUAGUGGCUCUGGGAUGCAUCAAAGAGCGGAGAGCUGGAGCGGCGAAGCCCACCCAGCCCUCGCCAUGGGAGGGUGUGGGCGAGGCCAGCGGGAGCCCCGUUCCCGGCUCUGCCCAAGGCAGGGACACAGUGUUAAUUGUGUCAGCGCUAUUGCACAACACUGUUGCCUUGACACUGUGUCAUGUAAAGAUUUUAAACUGCCUCUUUAUUAGUCAUCCUCUAUUCAUUUUAAUUGUACCUGAUAAGCAGGGCCAUUUCACCUUUUUCUGUAUGCCCUUAUUGUGUGUAUUUAUGUAGCCCAAGAGACUUUCAAUCUCUUCCUGUAGUGUUGGUUGAUGCAGAGGAAUGAGGAGGCAUUGCCAUCACAGCCUGCUGGGGUUCUCACCGGUUUGCUUGCAACGUUUUCAUAGCCCUGCUCUCCCAGCGUAUCUCCACAGGUCCUUGAUCCUGGCACCACAAAUGCUCCAACAGAGGCUUAGGUUAAUGCAUGGGAAGCAGUAAGAAGGGACAGGCUGACUGAAACAUGCACCUAAUUUUUUUUUUCAGGAUCAUGUGCUGUAGGUGUGUGCUUAACACCACGGGACUGACUUUGAUCUUCUCCCAGGAUAGAAUUUUCUAUGGGUUAAAUUCUUGCCUCUGAAUUAGGGCAUUUGUUAUUUAACAAAAUCAGAAGUGGGAGAUGAAUAACUAAUUAUUUGAUUUAAUGUAAAGAAUACAGUGAAAGUUUACGGAAUAUUUUAGGCCCACUUACUUGAAACAUAAAAAUAGACUGCCUGAGAAUUUACCUGUGUGAACUCUGUCCCUGAAAUUCCUUACCUAGCCUUAUCUUUGUGAAGUCUGAAGUUUCACUGAAAGUUCCUGGAAAUAUAAUGCAUUUUUCCUUCUGUGGUAUUAUGACCUUCUCAUCCCAAACAUCCCCUGCGUUUGCUGUGGGAGAAGGAAGGGCCCUUUGGCCAGGGACAACACUGCCCACCUGUAAGAGCAGUGCAGGCAGGUGACACAGCUGCUUGCCCAGCACCUGGAGCACUGCUGACACUGCACAGACUGUUUGCUUAGAGCAUGUCUGCUUCAGGAAAAUUACCAGAGUCCUUCUCCAACUGAGGUUGGAUUUAUUCUCUGGAUUUAUUUAGUUUCACCUUAGUUUUCCCCAUUUAAAAAGACUCAAAGCUAGAAUUUAGGUUUGAGCUAGAAUCAUGUGAGGAGAUGGGUAAAAUCCCAUUCUCAGUUAAGUUUAGAAAAAGGAACAGAAAUGCCAUUAAAGGCAGAACAAAAAACACAUUUACUCCAGUGUGAACAGGAUUUCCCCCCUAGCACGAGAUCUUACAUUCCUGUGGGCUGAAAUGAGCUACUCACUGUCCUACCCAGCAUCUUCAAGGACCACUUGGAAUAUUUAUGCAACUGCUUAAAAGGAUUAUAAACAUACAUGAGUGAGUUAAUCACCAUUUAGGACAAAAGUCCACCUAAGCUUUUGAGAACCAACAGGAGUAUUUUCAUUUUCAUCACCCAGGACCUUAUUUUGUAGAAAAUGGUUUAAGAUGGUUCUUAUAGAGGCAACAGUGGUACCCAAAUUUGGUAUGUAUUUAACGCUCUGUAUUGCCUUGUUCUGGAGUAAUACCUUGGCCAGAUAAAUGAAUGUAUUUAUUUGAAAAGCUAAGAAGUUCCCAAGUCAUAUUUUUGGUCCUGAAAAAGAUCAAAGAAUACUUUUCAUGUGGCUGAUUGUACUUCCAAAAAAAAUAUUAUUUUAGUAAAGGAAAAAAGUGUUCUGUCUUAACUACAGUAAAAUAUUCUCUGAUAAGUAUUCUUGUGACCUGUUACUCUGCCUAACUCAAAGAAGGGAGGGGGGAAACUUGCACAAACGAGAGCAUGGCUCCCUUCUCCUGCCCAUAUCCUUACAUGAGAGCAUACAAGCUAAAGCUCUUUGACCACAUUUUAGCUUGAUCCCACAGGAUAAUGUACCUAUGAAUUAAUUUUCUUUGAUGUUUGGUUGGUAUCUUCUGGAGACUGUGCUGAAGGAAAAUUCAGACUGCUGCAUAUGGGUUAAGUCACCUCUGACUUAGUCAUAGAGACUUAGUAUAAUCAGCUACCAAGGAGCCUCUUGAACUGAGACAUAAAAUAGAAACUUAGUAAUAAUAAUUAUGUUAAAGGCACAAAUCCCCAUGAAUUCAGCAGAGAGGGGACAAAUGAGCAGAGGCAGCACCAGGAAACAGCAGCAGCUGCAGCAUUGCCCUUGGAUGAAGCACAGAGGAAGAACAGACAAGUCAGUGCAGAAUUACUGUCCAUCAUCUGCAAGUGCAUCCUUCCUAAUAAAUAAUAGUGGUUACUACUUAGCACAUUAAAUCCACAUUGAUAAACAUGGAUGUUUCCUAUUAAUACUCAUGCUGAGCUUUAUUCUGGUACUUGUCCAUUACUUGAUUACUUGAUCUGUUACUUGAUCCCACUUGAUACACAGCUGGAAAUUGUGCAGUUCAACUAUUCCUUGCAAUGAAGGUUUCCACUUUCCCUCUUGGGCCUUUAUUUAGGGCACAUGCAAAGGUAACAUCAUCAUCUUACAGUUUUCAACAUCCUGGAUUAGAGUAGCAACUGCUGACUCCAAGGCAAAACCCAAUGACCUUCUGGCCAAACAUACCAGAUGGAAAGCUCCCCUUGUCACCUGGACUUCCUACAACAACCCAGGGUCUGACCAGACACCCAGGAUAUACAUGUGGGUGACAAAGGACACGCUUGCUGGGAAGGCUGUGCUGGUACAGGAGCUGCCUCCAUCCAUACCUCCCCAUCUCUCUCACAUCUACUGUCAUUCUCCUCCUCUGUUCUGCUGGACUGAACUAUGACCAAGGGCUCCCAGCUAUAUCCUAAUCUCCUCCCAAAACUGGGUCACUGGGUCAGAAAGUGGCAUUACGGUGGCUGUGACUUGCAGGCAGUUCCAGAGGCCCCACUUUCCCCCUGUGCAGCCUUGCUGGUGGGAAAACCUUACCUCUGCAGGACCUCUACAGUGGGGUGCUGAGAUAAGCUGCUGCUGAUUUCACUUUGUAAGGGAAGCAAAAUCUUCCUUUUCAUGACUAAGUGACCUUUGUGGCCCUUUCCCAGUUCUGUACAAGAAGACAUUAAAAUCAAGACUAUUUAAGAUGGAUAAGGAUGUAGCAGAAAGCAGACAGGGAAUAUGCGGGGAGAAGACAGUGGGGUUGACACUUCUACCACACCAUGAUUGGCAAACACCUAAAAAACAAUACAAAUAUAUUUGUAUAUGCACCUAAAACCAUGCAUACUCACUCACCUCAAACAACCACUAAAGGCCAGGCAUAGCUUGACAAUCAGAUUAUAAAUGUCAAGCAGUGGCUUUUUAGGCAUAAGCUAUACCAGUGGUUCUUUAGAACUAAGCAGCCUGAUGGUCUUGAGAGACCACUGACAACACAGCCCAGACACUGGCAAGGACGGAAACCUGAAGCACAAGCCCCAGGACAGAGCUCUCCAAAUACCUCCCUUAAUGUCUUUUAGGAUACACAGAAAAGAAAUUGUGUGUCCUUCAACCCAGGUGCACCAAAGUCAACAGGGUUCUUGGGUAAUUUCCACUGUUUUCCUUCUGCCUUUCUUUAAAUCACUGAAGCUUUUUAAAUAAUUUCCUGAAUGCAUAAAACAGGUGGACUGAUACUCAACAGACACUUUGCCCUGAGUGCAGGAUGGACUGAAAGCCUCACGUGUUGCUGAGGCUGUGCCACUCUGCUCAUACCUAAACAAAAGCAAGUUAAAUUGCAAGUCUAUGAGAUUUUAUUACUGUUUUAUGACAAAAUGAUACUGGAAUGUGCAAAAAAUAUUCAGAAUUGUGUGGGAUGUACUGCACUCUCUACUCACAGAAAAGCCCAUGGUUUUUCUGGGCACAGGGGAGGUGCUGAACACCAUCAGUGAAUUGAUUAUAGUACUGGAAACUAGUAUUAUGUGACAGAUUUUGUUUAUAAACAGUGUUGCAAAAAGCCAUCUCCAAUAAGAGGAAAUUAAUCUCUGACUAACUUGGAGAAAUCAGGUUCAUUAUGCAGCUCUAAGUGAUGGCAUUUUUGUAUGUCUAUAGAAAAUGAGUAUACGAGACAAUUGGAAUUUCCUCAUCUAAAUAGGAAUAUCGAGAUCUGUUUUGCUCAGGGUUUGUAAAAGAGAGACUGGGAUUGAAGAGUAGAGCUAUCUAGUGAGCAUGUUUUCAUGAAACUCAGGAAGUAUUUUGCAGAAGUAAGACCCAUGAAAAAAGGACUGCAUUUUUGGACUCAGCUCUUUACUGUCCCAUAUACUGUGGUGAUCAUGAGGGCAGUUAUGUGCUGCCACACUUCUCAUCCUGAUCCCAAGCCUUCACUGCCCUGACUGUUUUAGAAACAGUUUCUGGUUCUCUCCUCAUUAAGAAACCCACUCUUGCUAAUUCCAGAAGAACACCCAUCUUUGGCAAGCCAAGCAGCACCUUCCCAGCACAUUUGCAGGCAGCCAGAUGAGCUUGGUGAGGUCUGUGGUGUGGAUCUGUUUUUUUUAGUUUCAGUACAGUAUGCAAACAAUAUAGUUCUGCAGAAUAGAGCCUGAGGGUUCUCAGAGCACUGGAAACCACUUUUAGGAAAAUGCUAGUUUACAACAAACUUCAUUUUAAUAAAGCAGAAGGCUGUCCUUCUUUGGACCAUCACUGCUGUUAUAGUGACAUCUAGUUUCCCUGAGUUUUCAUCCUUCCCUUGUCUAUUUAAUACAUUCACCCACCAGUUGCUGUGCUAGUUUUCAGAAUAAGUCAUUUCAGCUGAGGAAAAACAUGAGGAAGAGACUCCAUUUUUUUUUAUUUUAUUUUUUUUUAAAGUGCAUUCUAGAGUUUCAGUCAUUUCAGUGGCAACACUCCGUUUGGGUGACCUGCAUUAGACAGCACUUGCACUACAAAAGCAGAACUCACUGUGGGUUUGCUGCCCUAUCAUCAUCUCCUUCAGUGAAUUCAGACACCAUGCAGUACCACAUACCCAGCACAGAUAGUGUCACUAGCACAGCAACUGGUGGGUGAAUCAUAAUGAAACUAUGAAAUGGAAACCUGUCACAAGCCAAAGGAAACGCUUUUCAGUGGAAUGUUUAAUCUCCAUACAAGAGCCAAAGUUAAGGACGUUGGUGAGAUAAUUAACUUGUGCCCUGGUCACUAAAUAUAGCUUUUUAUGCUACAUACAUAUGCUACACUGCAUAAAAAGUUGAUGGUUCUGUUGCCAUGGGAAAUAUGAAUACUUGCCAUGACAACUGCAGCAGGACAUGGCACAUAAUCCUCUUCACAAAGAGCAUCUUCCAAAGCAACCACUCCCAUUCAUACAUCCUACAAAAUUCUGCAUCUUUGACAGCAAUUCAAUGUGUAUUUUUCAGGCACAGUGGUUAAUCUGUACUGUGGCAUAUUUCCUUGUAAUAUUAUAUAAUUAUAAUAUUAUUUAUUACUUGGUUCUUACAUACCCCUUUCAGUAAUACAUCUGAAAGCACUUUGCAAAGGUAAUCUUUACAAAAAAUUUCUCAGUUUAUUUUACAGAUGAGGAAUUCAGGCAAAAAAAAUUCAUGAGUUCCCAGAGAACAGCAGGAUCAGGACUGGUGUUUGCACCCUCAUCACUUGGGUCUGAAAUAGGAGCAUGGUUCUCAUUGCAAGAAGGUGGAAAGAAUUCUCCAGCCAAAAUCUGCACCAUCAGGGCAGAACAUCUGUUGGGAAAACUUCAGUGAGCCCAGUGCAUCUGUACUUCCCAUCAGACAGGAACAACAUGCCACAGUGAUCUUCUUGACCUGGUUUGGGGUGCACCGCGUUAGCUGCAUGACUGCUGGACACUCUAGGCAGUUUGGGCAUGGAGGAAGGAGCUCUAUGCCAGCCAGACCACUGCAGAGAAAGUAUUGUAUUCCCUGUAGCAUUUUUUUCCAGAAGAUGCUUCUGAAAACAUCUUUCCCCAUUCACAUAGAGGAGCUGUGCAUGGUGCUGCUGAUCAGAGCUGUGCACACUAAAAUAAAGCACACACUGUCUUCACUGUGUUCAUCUUGGUCAACCUACAGCUCCAAGCAUCCUGGAAACUUGCACUGCCCUUUGGCAGAUGGGCUUCCUCAUGCCAAACCUCAUGCUGCUCCCCAACAGGCACAGCCGGUGACACUGGCAAGCAAACACCACUAGUUUGGGUGGCCAGGUUGCACUUACUUCAUCCUAAGAACUCAUUGAAGGCCUGCCCUGCAUGGUCCACUAGUGAAGCAUGAUGUUUUCUAAAAUUAUUUGCCUUGAAGUAAUGUCUAGAGGAAAAAAUAAGGAAAACAACAAAUUUUGUUCAAGAAUUAUCCCUAAUGUGGAACACCAAAAAUGUGCCUGGAGUAAAUAUGUGACUGAGAAAACCAUUACCAACCCAGAUGAUGAUUAAUCUUGCUAUUUACUUCUUAACCUUGCCAGACACAUUCAAAGUUGCAUAAUAAGGGUCAUCUCUCCUUUAUCACAAGAUUUAGCCUAGAGGGAAACUCUCUCUAUUUGAGUUACCAAUGUUAAUGAUGUUGCUUUUGACUUUGGGUCUAUUUCCCUACUUUAAAAAACAUAUUGACAACUUUUUUCCACUGUUAAAUUUGUGUAGUCACAGUAAUUAAAUAUGAAUCUUCAAAUAUUGCUUGACAUGUUGUAAACUUAUCAUCAGUGAAACAGUCUUCUGCCCAUUUUCAUAAUUAUUGCUGUUCAGAUAAAAAUGGUUAUGUGCUGAAAGACUGACAAUUUUCUCCUUUUAGUUAAGUUCUCAGUUGUUUGCCCUUUUGGCAGUGCUGAAUAGAAGUUAUGUUUCAUAAUUAAAUUAAUUUCCAUUUGCAAAUGGAGACAAUAAUUUACUUUCCAAUUUUUAUUUUUUUUUUAAUUUACUUUAAAUUGUUUCUUAAUAUAGAGGCCCAGGGGCCUGUUGCUGGGGUGCCUCGACUCUGGAGGGGGUGGCACAGUAGAGGGCAGACACCCUUCUAGAUUAGGAUAGGGAAAACUUCAUUCCCAUAGUCUUUUGCAGCCACAUACUGGUGCCUUCUGGGCUGGUGUUCUAGUGGUUUGUGGAUAUUGGUGUCACCCUUGUUCAGCCUCCGUUUGCCAUUUAUGUACCCUUCCUAGAAUGUUCUUCCUUCCCUUAACCCCUAUUGGCUCUGUUUUGCCGCAUUGUUCCACCCCUGUUAUCCCAUUGGUUCUCCUGGUCUCUGGCCACUCCCCUGCACCACUUUCCCUUGUCCCUAUUUGACCUCGAACCUCAGAGCCACUCCUUUUUCCACCUAUUGAACCCUGAGUCCUCAGACCAGUUCUUGUUCUCAUCCCUGAACCUUUUUGUGGCUGUGUUCAAUAAACUAGUUGUUGGAGUACCAAA